GGUUAAGGGCACAGGAAGUAAAUUUGUUUAAACAAGCAGGUGUCAGCAACUGAUAAUGAGCUACAUUUUUAGACAUGAUUUAGCAAAUUAAGAUUUUAAAUUGUACUUGUAGUGUCAAAUGUCUUGAAAUACUGUCAGCAUGAAGUAUUGUGUGAUGAAAACAAAGUGUAUUUACUACAAUGUAGUAAAUCAAAGGAGGUCCAAAGUGGCUGGAUACUGAAGAACAGUUGUAACAGGUAAAACUCUUGCCCCAAGGAAAGAAUGUGCAUUAUCACCUGCUAAAAAAGGAAGAAACAGGGGGAUACUGACUGAUGUAUGGACUUUAACACCAGGUUUUUACCCUUCAAGAGUUGGCCAACUAGAGUGAAGCAGGAGAGUGGGCUGUGCUUGACUAAGAAAAGCUGGAUUUGUUGAGAGAUCAAUACGCAUUCAAGAUCCUUAAGAAGAGAAGGACACAAGCAACAUCAGUGGUAGAUGUCACUCCAGCCCCUGCUUUUCCGGUCUCGCCUGCUGCUUUCCAGGUCCCUCCAGCUGCCAAGAUCAGGUCUAGGCACUGGCUGCCAUCCAGGUCCCCCUGGCGGUUGCGGUCGUGUUCUCAAAUGGCUGCUGUACUGGACUACUGGUUCCACCACCAUAUUCGGUCAAGGUCUCUCCAAAUGCUGAAGUCCAGGUUCCUCCGGCCACUGCGGUUCAGGUACCCCCAACAGCUGUGACCUAGUUCUCUGCAGCAGCUGCGAUCUAAAUAUAUUGACCCACUGCGGAACACUGCGGUUAAUCGUUUUUUCCAUACAAUCUUCCACAAAUGCCUCAUUUUAUAAUGAAGUGUACAAUUCUUAUGUUCAUAUUUGUUUGUGUUAUAAAGAUGAUUUUCCUGCA